rnacentral:rRNA from 1 species
UACGGAGGGUGCAAGCGUUAUCCGGAUUCACUGGGUUUAAAGGGUGCGUAGGUGGGAAUGUAAGUCAGUGGUGAAAUCUCCGUGCUUAACAUGGAAACUGCCAUUGAUACUAUGUUUCUUGAAUCUUCCGGAGGUCAGCGGAAUAUGUCAUGUAGCGGUGAAAUGCUUAGAUAUGACAUAGAACACUAAUUGCGAAGGCAGCUGACUACAGGGGCAUUGACACUGAGGCACGAAAGCGUGGGGAUCAAACAGG